GCCGGAGUAAACAUCCGGCGGGACGGGGCGGGGCCGGAAGUGGAGUUAGAAGGCGGUGGCUGAGGCGGUUCCGGAGGUUCUGGUGUCGGAGUUGGGGCAGGCAGGUGCUAUGGGCCGGCUUGAGGCACACUGAGGGGACGCGGGGCUGGGCCAUGGCCGGCGCUCGGGCCGCCGCCGCCACCGCCUCGGCGGGGUCCUCGGCCUCUUCGGGCAACCCGCCGCCACAGGAGCCGGGGCUUGGGGAGCUGCUGGAGGAGUUCUCCCGGACUCAGUACCGGGCCAAGGACGGCAGCGGGACCGGCGGCUCUAAGGUUGAACGCAUUGAGAAGAGAUGUCUGGAGCUGUUUGGCCGAGACUACUGUUUCAGCGUGAUUCCAAACACGAACGGGGAUAUCUGCGGCCACUAUCCCCGGCACAUCGUGUUCCUGGAGUAUGAGAGUUCUGAGAAGGAGAAAGACACGUUUGAGAGUACCGUACAGGUGAGCAAGUUGCAAGACCUCAUCCACCGCAGCAAGAUGGCCCGGUGCAGAGGACGGUUUGUCUGCCCAGUAAUCCUGUUCAAGGGCAAGCACAUUUGCAGGUCGGCCACACUGGCUGGAUGGGGAGAGCUGUAUGGACGCUCAGGCUACAACUAUUUUUUCUCAGGGGGUGCAGAUGAUGCCUGGGCAGAUGUGGAGGACGUCACGGAGGAGGACUGUGCUCUUCGAAGUGGUGACACGCAUCUUUUUGAUAAGGUCAGAGGCUAUGACAUCAAGCUGCUUCGAUACCUGUCAGUCAAAUACAUCUGUGACCUGAUGGUGGAGAACAAGAAGGUGAAGUUUGGCAUGAAUGUAACCUCCUCUGAGAAGGUGGACAAAGCCCAGCGCUAUGCCGACUUCACUCUUCUCUCCAUCCCGUAUCCAGGCUGUGAAUUUUUCAAGGAAUAUAAAGAUCGGGAUUACAUGGCAGAAGGGCUCAUAUUUAACUGGAAGCAGGACUACGUUGAUGCCCCACUGAGCAUCCCUGACUUCCUGACUCACUCUCUGAACAUUGACUGGAGCCAGUAUCAGUGUUGGGACCUGGUGCAACAAACACAAAACUACCUGAAGCUGCUGCUUUCCUUAGUUAACAGCGAUGAUGACAGCGGGCUGCUGGUACACUGUAUCUCAGGCUGGGAUCGGACCCCCCUCUUCAUCUCCCUCCUGCGCCUUUCCUUAUGGGCUGAUGGGCUCAUCCACACGUCCCUGAAGCCCGCUGAGAUCCUCUACCUCACUGUGGCCUAUGACUGGUUCCUCUUUGGGCACAUGUUGGUAGAUCGGCUUAGCAAAGGGGAGGAGAUUUUCUUCUUCUGCUUCAAUUUUUUGAAGCAUAUUACCUCCGAGGAGUUCUCUGCUCUGAAGACCCAGAGGAGGAAGAGUUUGCCAGCCCGGGAUGGAGGCUUCACCCUGGAAGACAUCUGCAUGCUGAGACGAAAGGACCGUGGCAGCACCACCAGCCUUGGCAGUGACUUCUCCCUGGUCAUGGAGAAUUCCCCAGGAGCCACUGGGAGCUUCACCUAUGAGGCCGUGGAGUUGGUCCCAGCAGGAGCGCCGACUCAGGCAGCUUGGAGGAAGAGCCACUCAUCCUCUCCACAGAGUGUCCUCUGGAACCGGCCACAACCCUCAGAGGACCGCUUGCCUUCCCACCAGGGGCUGGUGGAAGCCAGGUCUUCCAGCUCCUCAUCCUCAAACCAUUCUGAUAACUUUUUCAGGAUGGGUAGCAGUCCCCUGGAGGUCCCCAAACCCAGAUGGAGAUGGUUAAGGAUUGCCAGAGUUGCAGUGCCUGGCCAGCUGCACUCCAGUGGCAGCUGCUUGGGGAUAAGACUGGCCCAGUGACCAGUUGGGCUGUCAUCUCAGACUAGGAGCCCUUGACACCAGCCAGCUGGGGGAGCCAAGGCCAGUGAAUGUUUUUCUCCACUCCCAAUCCCUGCUCUUCAUUCCUGUUUCUGGGUCCCUACUUGAACACCUCCUGCUGUUUUUGGAUGAAAGAAUAAAGGGUCAGGCAUCAAAGAUGAUGUCCCUCUGGGGACUGGGACCUGGGGUAGCAGGUGGAAGGGCCUUGUUUGAUGUCUCCCUAUCUCCUCCCUCACCCGCACUGGCUGGACUACUGCCCAGGACAGAAGAGAGGGGUUGGCUGAGUAGGGAGGAGGCGGAAGCAGUAGAUUCCCAGCACAACUUUCUUCCUCCCACCCCCCAAACCUCCAUCUGAAGAAGGCCUGAUGAAGCUGUCAGGCUGCCUGCCUGAUUCAUCCCUUCCCUCUGGGCAUAGCCACUGAGUCUGUUGGGCUGGGCUGAUGCUUCUGAAUACAAACUAUGGCACUUGGAAGGCACUGCAGAGAAAGGGGGGACUUCAGGACUCCCAUUCCAUCACUCUUCAGUCUAGGUCAUACCCUCCACAAUCCCCAAGAGGCCUGUUCUGUCUCUCCUGAUGGGACUCCUGGGUUCUGUGUUGCCCACCCUGCAAAUCUGCAUGCCAGGAAGCAUGGGUGACCCGGCUGCUGGUACACCUUCAUUUGGGUGCUAGCCUUGCUCCCUUCAUUUGGUGCUGUUGAGAUUGUCCUUGCCAUAUUUGCUCCCAGCACAGGCAAGCCCUGGCCCCAGGCUGUGGCUCCGAUUCACUCUUACUGCCAUGCUUUGUUCUCGUUUUUUGCUUCCACAGUAAGUCUGCACAAAGUACUGUCCUCACAGCUGAGCUUACCUGGUGAUCUGUUCUUUUUUGUUGGUCACUACUUGUCCAGCUUUUUUUUUUUAGACUUUUGGAGACGGUGAUUGACAACAGAACCUAGCAGCCAGGGCCGUGCUAGCCCCCCAGUCCCCUCCAGAGCCUGUGUCAGGCAUAUGACUGACUGCAUCCUCUCCCCUCUCUCUCCUCUCUGCCCCAGAUCAGUGGACCAUCCCCUGCCCGGAUCCUCUCUCUCCACAGACUAUGGCAGCUGGCAGAUGGUAACGGGCUGUGGCAGUAUUCAGGAGCGGGCUGUCCUGCACACAGACUCCUCUCUCCCUUUCAGCUUCCCGGAUGAGCUCCCUAGCAGUUGUCUGCUUGCAGCCCUGAGUGAUCGAGAGACUCGGCUGCAGGAGGUGCGCUCAGCCUUCUUGGCUGCGUACAGCAGCACGGUGGGGCUUCGGGCAGUAGCCCCCAGUCCCUCUGGUGCCAUCGGGGGCCUGCUGGAGCAGUUUGCCCGUGGUGUCGGACUCCGGGGCAUCAGCAGCAAUGCCUUGUGAAGAAGCCAGCCCAUGACAGUUUCCUGCUCCUCUCUCAGCUGAGCCCUUAGCAGAAUCAAAGCCAUGCCUGGCCAAAGGGGUACUUCCAGGUCAGGGGAAAUUUCACUCCCCCAUCUCCAUCAUGUACAUGGCAGCCCCAAAGCUGAGCAAGGCCAAAGACAGGGUUUUCCAAUCCCCAGCCUCUUGACUGGUGACCACCACCCCUUCUUGUCACUGUCUCCCACCCACCCCGUCUUUGCUGGGAUUCCCAUCAACUCUCAGAACUGUGUGGGGUUUCCCUGGGGCCUUGUGGAAGCCAUGACUUCACAAAGACCCUACCUCUCAAUUCUUGUUUCCUGGGGAGGAGGGAUCACCUGCACUGAGAAUGAGGCAGUUUGACACAGAUCACAAAAUAAAAUCAAAGUCUUUUUAAACAGCCA